UCACAGAGAGGAGGGUCUGUGCGGGCGGAACCCAGCCCGAUUCAGGUUCUUCUGCGGGAACAUGGGGGCUUCCAUAGCAUGCAGGUUUUACCCUAUUCAUCUUGGGGUGGCUUUGGCACGUCCUGGAAGCGAGUGUGGGAGACAAGCCACUUUUGCACCUGCAGGAGACACUGCUGCGCCCUUGUGCUUUUCUUCCGCCAGCUGGCACUGGAAGCGGCCCAGUCCUCCUCAGCCCGUGGUUGAGGGGAACACUGAAGCCCAGAGAAGUGGGUGUGGGUGGCCACAGGUGCCGGUUGACCGACUGCACUGCGGAGGAGUAAUUCUCACGAAUCCGGAAGCUCAUGGUUGAUCUGCAAUAAGGAGCUAAGCCCAGAAGAUGGUGUUGGCUGGUCCCGGAGCCCAGGAUGGCCCAGAGAACCUUGAAGUUGGACGUCCUGUUCAAGAAGGAAAGUACUAAAUUAGUAAGUAGCCCUAGAAGUACAGACUUUGGAACCAGAAAUUCCUGGGUUUGAAUUCUGGUUCCAUCAGAUGCUAAACUGUAUGGCCUUGGGCAAGUUGCUCUCCCUCUCCUAGCCUCAGUAAACUCAUGUAUAAAAUGGAGAUGACAAUCCCUACCUAGUUAGCUAGAGCCACCUCCCUCCAAAUAUGGGUAUCUGUGACUCAGGCCACCUCUCACUGUCAGCUGCUGGGUGUCAGGGUUCCUCUGGGACCAAGGACCACUGAAGCAGGGGGCCAAGAGAGCAAGGCUGCAGGCUGGCAGCCUGGGCUAAAGGGCUAUGGAGCUGAUUUUAGUUGUUAUUGUUCAAUUUGAGCCAAUAUUAAACUCUAAGGGACUUCAUAAAAUCCUGGGGUUACAUUUCUUUCAGAAAGUGCAUUAUAUCUUAAAACUGCAGCCUCUUCCAGCCACAGUUUUGCAUUCUCUUGAUUGCCGCAAGCCUUACCCCUUGGCGUACUGACAGCUGCUGACCCCUGAAACCAGCUAGCACCCCCCUCCCCUGCAAAUCUUUGCCUUUCCUCUAGAGUCCAGAGGUGUCAGAUGAUGGCAGGCCCUUCUGGAGUCAUUGCUGUGUGUCAGACACUGCCUCCAGCACUUUCAACAUGUUUAUCCUCAUGUCUGACCUAUGACGUAGAUGCUAUUAUUAGCCUUCCUUUCAAGGGUGAGGAAACAGAAGCACAGAGAAGCUAGAUGAAUUACCCAAGGUCACACAGCUGGGAAGUGGCAGUGCUAGAGGAGGGGCUGGCCCCUGAGUGUGUGUGCUGUUAAUCCCUGUAUAUGCUGCCUCUGCCACAGACACUGAGUGCUGGCUUCUGUUUGUUUUUCUCAACCAAUUGUUUUUCUGAUAAUAAAACUGAUACAUGCUCAUUAAAAACAAAACAAAAUAAAAAACCAAAACCAAAAAACAGGAAAGUUUAAAGAAACAAGUAAAAAGUGUCUCAGGCUUUUACUCCCUAUCCCUCUCCAGAAGCAGCAUUCGGGGGCAAUGUCAGCAGAUGGUCACAAUAAUAUGUAAUACAAGAUGGGAUAAUUUCAUCUGUACAUAAUAAAAACCUACAUUGAUGAGAGAAUGAUCUAGAGCUCAUACUGGGAGCCACCCAGCUGGGUUCAGGUCUCCUAGCCUGUCCUCUGACUGGGUGAGCCUAAAAUUCAGUUUUCCCUUCUGCCAAAUGGGAACCUCAUAGGCAGUCCUAAAAAUUCAAUGAGAUAAUACAAGAGAACGUAGCAUGGUUCCUGGCUUUUUCAGGAAUUUAAAUUUUUAGGAAUUCGGUUGUGAUUAUGAUCAUUCAUUGGGGCUGAUGUUUGCCCCUUAGGUUGUGGGACAUAGGCCAGGGCCACAUCCAUGGACCAGGGCCACGUCCAUGGACAGGUCACACUUUGGCCACAGAGAGAAGCAGUGGGUGAAGGCUGCAGAUGAUCUGAGGGCUGAGAUGAGCUAGCAUACCAGGAGCAGUUUAGAAAUGGAGGUGCAGGGGGCCCAGGAUAUGGAUUGUGUACUGGGUAGGGAUAAAGGCUGGGGCGCCUGUGGAGUAAGGACCUAGGACCCAGCCCUCUGAUGAGGAGGACUGUCUGCCCAUGACAGCAUGCACUGCGUCUCCAGUCCAGAUAAUCACCCAGGCCUGAAACAAGCCCUGCAGUCUCCGCCCUCCAAGUAAAUAGGUGUUGCUAUUCUAAGCAGCCCUGUGGUAAAAAUACUCGCUUGGCUUUGGAAGGAUUUUUUUUUUAAGCCGUGAAAAUAACAGGGCAGUAGGCUGACUAUUUUAGGUUGGGGCCUUUGGCUCUCUUUCAAAGUCUCGGCCCAAAGGAGAUCUUUUUAGAAACAGGUCGCCCUGCACACUUUGCACGCAUUGAUCGUCCGGUGGAACAAGCCUGGAUGGAGGCAUCUAAGAGGCUCUGGGCCUGUGCCCAAGCGGCAGAGUUGGAGAAAUUGCCGCCAUUGUUUAUGCAGGGCUGUAAACUGGGACUGCCGGCUCAGUCUCUCUGGGGCCCGGAGCCCUCCUUCCACCCGCCCCACCCCCACCCCCUAGAGUUCGCAAGGGGCGAAGCCAGCGGUCUGCCUGCUUCUCUCUCCACUUUGGGAAUCCUGGGUCAGGGUGGGGUUGGAAUAUGGGGAAUGUUCCCCACCUUCUUUAUAAAUCAGCGGAGCCAGGGAGGAGUUUGCAGUAGGGCUGGGGCCUGUCAGUCUGGAACCCGGACAAAAUUUUCCAUCCUCGGUGGACCAAAGGAUGACAUUAGGGACUGAGGAAGACACUCUGGAGAAGAUGGCCAGAGACGGAAUAGCAAUAACCUGAGAAAAUUAAAUUUGAAUCUUGACCAGGGCCCUUACCAGCUGUGUGACCUUGGGUGGUAACUUUACCUCUCUGAUCCCUUGUUUUCCUAUUAGUGAAAUGGAGAUAAUGAAGCAAACCUUCUGGGAAGAUGAAAGAAAAUAAUGUAUUUGAAAACAUCUAGCACCUAUAGAAUGGCCACUAAAUCUGGAAACAUAGAGGAAUUUUCAGAAAAAGGUGUUUAUUGAUAAUACAUAAUAAAAUUUUCUCUAUUUCCAGACUUUAAGGUCACCCUUAAAGUGUAAUGGUUAACUGCCUGGGUUUGAUUCUUGGUUCUGCCGUUUGCUAGCUGUAUGACCCCAGAGGGAGGUGGAGUUGGACUGCUUGAAUUCUGCCCAGAGCUCAUCCGCCUUUAGAGGUAUGUUCUUGCCCAAGUUCCUCACUUGUGAAACAGAGUGGCAAUGGCACCUGUCUCAUAGGGUUGUGAGGCUAGGGCCUUGUCCAAGGUGACAGAGCCAGUAAGUGACAGAGCUGAGCUUCCCUGAGAGGUGACCCCAUUCUAAAGCCCCUGGUGGAGUUCCUGUUGUGACGCAGCAGAAACAAAUCUGACUAGUAACUAUGAGGUUGUGGGUUUACUACCAUAUGCCUUACUGAAUUGUGCCUGAUAGCUCUCAAUCACAUUAGCUAGCUGUUGCUGUUAUUAUUCAUUUCCUUUCUAUGUGAACCAAUUUGCUCUGGUGUUGUUUGGCUUUUGAAGUUGUUUCUAAAGAAAAGCAUUGACUUUUCUGAUGGAGCAAAUGUGGACAGGCCACCAACAUUACCAGGAGGAAUCCGAGGAGAAGAUAAAACUGCAGUUACCCAGAAAUUUCCUGAUGAGGAAAUGAACUAAGAGAAAACAAUCCCUAGAAUUUUAAAUGUGCAAACCAUAUUUGAGGCUGAGAACAGGGCUGCAUGGAUGGCCUGAUUUCUACCAAUCUGGUAUUAGGAGCUUCUAGCUGAGGUUGGCCUCAUAUCAUCUCUAAGUCUUUCCCUUUUGGAAACGUAGGUGAAGGGGUCUAAUUGGAAGCUGGUUGCCAGAGUAUCCUGUCCCACCUACUGAAUAGAGAAUGCCCCUCAGUUCCCACCUACUCAAAGAUAUGAGGCCAAUGUCUACUUAUAAAGAAUGCAGAUAUGGCUAAUAAUAAUAAUACCAAAGUUCUCAUAACAUGGGGAACCCAGUCUGGCAGGGAUGGCCAGUUGGCCUCUCCAGUACCAAACCAUGAAUCCACAAGAGACUUGGAGGCUGGCGGGAUGAAGCAGGUCAUCCAAGGGCACAGAGCUGCAGAGAGCUGAAAGGUGCUGGGUGACCUCUCCCUUCAGUUCACAGGUGGUCGUUCGGUUCACAGCCGCUCUGGAAGUGUGUGCAGAUCCCCCCAGUGAAUUCCAUGUUCCAGGAGAUCUCUCUGCAGAAGAAGGAAGAGAAGUGGCCUUAAGUGAAUAUCAAUAUUGCCAAAGAGGAAGUCAGGUAAUCCCCAUGAACAUCCAUUAAGACUCUGUUAUAAGGAAUGGAAAAACUAACUCAUUGGUUUUAAGUUCAGAAAAAGGUAAUGUCAUGCUUCAUGGAACUGAAAAGCCCAAGUCCAGCUGGUUUCAAUGCUCAGCAGAGGUCAGGAGGGACCCACAAGGUCUCAGGCUCAGCUCUCACUAUACAAAUGUAGAUGAAACAGCCCCAGUCUUUCCUCAGCCCAGCGAUCAAGUCCAAGGGAAAGCUCAGAAGACCUGUUUGGGACUUCUUUAGAAAUCCUGAGAUUCACUUUGAUUGGAUCCACUUGGGUCAUGUGUCCAUCCCUGAGCCAAUCACAGUGACCCAGGGUGUUUGCUACUUUGUCCAGGCCUGAGUCAUGUGCUCUGGGAAAGGCUGAGCCCUGUAUAGACUGUGGUGUUUGAGUUGUAUGCACGUAGUUUCAUUUGUUCCUCCCUCUCCCUCAACUGCACAAUGAGCCCCUGAGGGCAGAGACCACACUGGGCAUCUCUGCAUCUCCAGUGGUGAGCUCAGGGCCUGGGCCCCAGCAUGAGGUACUUUCUCUCUUGGUAAACAGUCUUGAAAUAAACUGAGUUGUAGGUAAUGGAGAAUGAACUGGAGAACUGAGAUUAUGCAUGUGAUGUAUGCAGAACAAAGCAAGGCAGGCAUACUUUGGCCCUGGCUUUUUUUCUCCCUUUGAGAUCAGCCAACCCAAGCCAAUGAAGGAAAUUGUACCCAUUUUAGACUCUGGAUGAUGGUGACAAUGAAAUUAGCUGAAAUUAAAUUUUUAGUCAUCCACUAAGCUUUGUUUCUUUAGGUUUGCUCAGGGCUGGAGUCACAGUUUCUCUUCUGUCUUACUAAGUAGUGAAAUAAGUGACUAUUAAGCACCAACUGUGUAUUCAGUGCUACACUCUUUGAGAUUAAGGUGGUAAAAUAUUACAGGAGUUCCCGUCAUGGCGCAGGAGAAACGAAUCCAACUAAGAACCAUGAGGUUGCAGGUUCAAUCCCUGGCCUUGCU